rnacentral:tRNA from 1 species
GGCAAGGUGGCCGAGUGGUUAAGGCGGCGUGUUUAAGGACUCACCAGCACUGUGCUCGCGUACAGCGCACGUGAAAAUCUUCCUUUGACCCACGCUGGAGCGAUCCUCCUGGGUUCGAACCCCAGUCUUGCCA